GAGGGAUUAAGUGAGUUGUUAUUUUUGCUUUAGUUUUCGCGUCUUGUUCAAUCUUCCCUGUUUUGAGUCAUAAAUUCAUGUACGUACAUAAACGUUUGUUUAUCGUUAUGUCAAUUUACAUCUAUAUUUUAUAAUAGGUAAUCUCAAACCGUGUAUUGUCUUACAUUGUGUACCCGAGAUAUGAUGAUGUGAGCAUCUAAAGUUAGAUUAUAUAAAUACUUUGGUUUUCAUGAAAUAAUUUAGUUCCGGACGUAUAAAGACAACCUGACUAAAGCUUGUGCAAUACUUACGUGGCUACAAGUUGACGUUAUUUGACUAAAUGUAUUUUGUGUCGAAACAGACGGAUACACGAUUGAUCUCUGUAAGAAAGAUGACAUUGGAAUGAUUGCUUCCAAGAGGUGAUUGCAAAUAAACACAUCAAAGGUUCGUUGCUAAGAACCUUGCAAGGAUACAGGACCAAAUGAACCAACAUACCAUUAAACUAGAAAAGAACAUAUUUAGAUGAUUUCAAUGACAUCCAUGGAACAUUUGUUUAAGACAAAUAUAUUAUAAUACAUUUCCUAGACAAUAUUCUUCAGUUGAAUAAGUAUCAUCAUUUAAAUCGAGAGACCUUUGCAUAUACAUGUAGUGAAUUUACAAUUAGAGAUAUUCAUUUGUUGGUAUGAGUGUAGAGAAAAAUAUAUAACGUUGGAAGCUACAUUGAAGUGCAGAAGAUUUUCGUUAUCAUUAAGUUUGGAUGGACAAACUUUAAUCUUACUUAAUGACGGAUUAAAUUUCAGUUUGAAUAUUAAGGAAAUUACCUAAUCGUUCUUUUCCAGCAUACAAUGUGACAGUUAGUGUAUAGUAUACUUAUUGCAUUUUAUUGAUAUUUUACUUCAUUUUAUCAAUUAUGUUUCCAAAGGUCUGUAUGCAAUCUAGGUUGCCAAAAAAGUGUAAUGAUCAGACCUCCUUAGUAUUGUAUUCUCUUAAUAUUCAUACUUUUCUCUGGAAAUAUGAUAAUUAAAAUUAUAAGUAUGAAUGCGGAUGGUCCAAAUGAUGGCAGAGGGUCCGCAGCAAGGCGGAAAACGGCGAUUCAUGACAUAGUCUGGAAUGAACAACCAGAUAUCAUUUUCUUUCAAGAAUUUAAUUGGGCUAGUAUUAAUUGGAAAGUGAAUUCCCU